UACGUAGGGUGCGAGCGUUGUCCGGAUUUAUUGGGCGUAAAGAGCUCGUAGGCGGUUUGUCGCGUCGGCCGUGAAAUCUCCACGCUUAACGUGGAGCGUGCGGUCGAUACGGGCAGACUUGAGUUCGGUAGGGGAGACUGGAAUUCCUGGUGUAGCGGUGGAAUGCGCAGAUAUCAGGAGGAACACCGAUGGCGAAGGCAGAUCUCUGGGCCGUAACUGACGCUGAGGAGCGAAAGCGUGGGGAGCGAACAGG
rnacentral:rRNA from 1 species